rnacentral:rRNA from 1 species
UACAGAGGCCUCGAGCGUUAGGCGGAAUCACUGGGCUUAAAGCGUGUGUAGGUGGAUGCCUAAGUACCUUGUGAAAUCCCACGGCUCAACCGUGGACGUGCAUCCAAAACUACGUCGCUGGAGUCUCGGAGAGGAAGGUGGAAUGCUUGGUGUAGAGGUGAAAUUCGUAGAGAUCAUGAGGAAGACCAGUGGCGAAGGCGGGUCUCUGGACAGUUCCUGACACUGAGACACGAAGGCCAGGGGAGCAAACGGG